rnacentral:rRNA from 1 species
GAGUUUUCUAAACUCCCAAACCCAUGUGAACUUACCAUUGUUGCCUCGGCGGAGCCUACCCUGUAGCUACCCUAUAAGGUGGUUACCCUGUAGCGCCCCGCCGGUGGAUUUUCAAACUCUUGUUAUUUAUAGUAAUCUGAGAGUCUUAUUUUAAAUAAGUCAAAACUUUCAACAACGGAUCUCUUGGUUCUGGCAUCGAUGAAGAACGCAGCGAAAUGCGAUAAGUAAUGUGAAUUGCAGAAUUCAGUGAAUCAUCGAAUCUUUGAACGCACAUUGCGCCCAUUAGUAUUCUAGUGGGCAUGCCUGUUCGAGCGUCAUUUCAACCCUUAAGCCUAGCUUAGUGUUGGGAGUCUACGAGUGGGCCAGGCUACCCUGUAGCGUGGUUACCCUGUAGUUCCUGAAAAUCAACGGCGGAUUUACAGUAUCCUCUGAGCGUAGUAAUUUUUUAUCUCGCUUUUGUUUAGGUGCUGUGACUUCGGCCGCUAAACCCCCAAUUUUU